rnacentral:rRNA from 1 species
CAUGCAGUCGAGCGGUAAGGCCCUUUCGGGGUACACGAGCGGCGAACGGGUGAGUAACACGUGGGUGAUCUGCCUCGCACUCUGGGAUAAGCCUGGGAAACUGGGUCUAAUACCGGAUAUGACCUUACAUCGCAUGGUGUUUGGUGGAAAGAUUUAUCGGUGCGAGAUGGGCCCGCGGCCUAUCAGCUUGUUGGUGGGGUAAUGGCCUACCAAGGCGACGACGGGUAGCCGGCCUGAGAGGGCGACCGGCCACACUGGGACUGAGACACGGCCCAGACUCCUACGGGAGGCAGCAGUGGGGAAUAUUGCACAAUGGGCGAAAGCCUGAUGCAGCGACGCCGCGUGAGGGAUGACGGCCUUCGGGUUGUAAACCUCUUUCGACAGGGACGAAGCGCAAGUGACGGUACCUGUAGAAGAAGCACCGGCCAACUACGUGCCAGCAGCCGCGGUAAUACGUAGGGUGCGAGCGUUGUCCGGAAUUACUGGGCGUAAAGAGCUUGUAGGCGGCUUGUCGCGUCGAUCGUGAAAACUUGGGGCUCAACCCCAAGCUUGCGGUCGAUACGGGCAGGCUUGAGUACUUCAGGGGAGACUGGAAUUCCUGGUGUAGCGGUGAAAUGCGCAGAUAUCAGGAGGAACACCGGUGGCGAAGGCGGGUCUCUGGGAAGUAACUGACGCUGAGAAGCGAAAGCGUGGGUAGCGAACAGGAUUAGAUACCCUGGUAGUCCACGCCGUAAACGGUGGGUACUAGGUGUGGGUUUCCUUCCACGGGAUCCGUGCCGUAGCUAACGCAUUAAGUACCCCGCCUGGGGAGUACGGCCGCAAGGCUAAAACUCAAAGGAAUUGACGGGGGCCCGCACAAGCGGCGGAGCAUGUGGAUUAAUUCGAUGCAACGCGAAGAACCUUACCUGGGUUUGACAUACACCGGAAACC